rnacentral:telomerase_RNA from 1 species
AGUGCAACCAACCGAGCCACACGCGAGCGCGGUAGCUCGCUCUAACCCUAACCCACCCGUCGCUCUUCAAAGUCCGUAGACUCUACAGUUUUCAGCUGGUUUCUGUAGGCUUGUUCGUGCAACCGACCAAAAAACUUGCUGUGAUCAUUGCGUUACCUGUGUUUCGUUCGUUGGGUUGGCCAGCUCAGCUCAGACCAGCCAAAGCAUGCCAAUAUGGCGGUGCUGUGACUGUCAGACCACGGUAGAACAGCCUCGUUAUUUGUUACCCAACCGUGGUUCCGUCACACGUUGGUGUUAUCAAGAUAACACGGGCGACAACCUACCAUCCAAGUCUAGCACGCCACUGCACCUACACGUAGAGUAACUGUCAUUGCUUCGCUUGCCUGCACUUUGAACCGUAGGUGUGGGCAUUAAAGCAAUGCCAAACAUGU